UUCCGGUUGAUCCUGCCGGAGGUUACUGCUAUCAAGGUCCGACUAAGCCAUGCGAGUCGAAUGUAGCAAUACAUGGCGAACUGCUCAGUAACACGUGGACAACCUACCCUCAGAUCUGGGAUAAACCUGGGAAACUGGGUAUAAUACCGGAUAAUCCUUGGAUGCUGGAAUGCACCGAGGAUCAAAGUUCCGACGUCUGAGGAUGGGUCUGCGGCCUAUCAGGGUAGUAGUGGGUGUAAAGUACCUACUAGCCUACGACGGGUACGGGUUGUGAGAGCAAGAGCCCGGAGAUGGAUUCUGAGACACGAAUCCAGGCCCUACGGGGUGCAGCAGGCGCGAAAACUUUACAAUGCCGGCAACGGCGAUAAGGGGACCUUGAGUGCCAGGAUACAAUCUUGGCUGUCGUCGUGUCUAAAAAACACGAUAUAGCAAGGGCCGGGCAGGACCGGUGCCAGCCGCCGCGGUAACACCGGCGGCUCGAGUGGUAACCGUUAUUAUUGGGUCUAAAGGGUCUGUAGCCGGCCGGAUAAGUCUCUUGGGAAAUCUGGCAGCUCAACUGUCAGGCUAUCAGGAGAUACUGUCUGGCUCGAGGCCGGGAGAGGUGAGAGGUACUUCAGGGGUAGGGGUGAAAUCUUGUAAUCCUUGAAGGACCACCAGUGGCGAAGGCGUCUCACCAGAACGGACCUGACGGCAAGGGACGAAAGCUAGGGGCACGAACCGGAUUAGAUACCCGGGUAGUCCUAGCCGUAAACGAUACUCGCUAGGUGUCGGCCACGGUGCAACCGUGGUCGGUGCCGUAGGGAAGCCGUGAAGCGAGCCACCUGGGAAGUACAGCCGCAAGGCUGAAACUUAAAGGAAUUGGCGGGGGAGCACUACAACGGGUGGAGCCUGCGGUUUAAAUGGAUUCAACGCCGGA
rnacentral:rRNA from 1 species